rnacentral:rRNA from 1 species
UACGUAGGGUGCAAGCGUUUGUCCGGAAUUAUUGGGCGUAAAGAGCUCGUAGGCGGUCUGUUGCGUCGGCUGUGAAAACCCGGGGCUCAACUCCGGGCCUGCAGCCGAUACGGGCAGACUAGAGUUCGGCAGGGGAGACUGGAAUUCCUGGUGUAGCGGUGAAAUGCGCAGAUAUCAGGAGGAACACCGGUGGCGAAGGCGGCAUCCUGGACCGGUAUUGACGCUGAGGCGCGAAAGCCAGGGGAGCAAACGGG